UAAACAUGUAGUGAAAUUUGAAUUGCACUUGAACCACACAGCACUGUGGGGCGAUUUUUAACGUUCACUCCCAGCCACCCCUGACCUGACUGACUUUUCAACUCACUCUGGCAGAUCCACCAGUGACUUCAACCAUCACUUUUCUGCAUGUGUCUGCAAACUCUGCCGUCAUCAUAUCCAAGUGGGCUCCAUCAACCAUCCGGGGCAAAGUCAGUCUGUCCUGAUUGCACUACCUGCUAAUUGAUGACGUCUAGAAGCCAUGGCUGGUGCCCUCCACGUGUCGUGCCAUCCAACAGUCUCAGUGUGGAGCCAAAGGCUGCUAUUGCAGGUCAGAUGGGAGACUAUCUAUGUUAGGCAUCAGAAAGGUGGUGUAUGCCCGAAGGCAGGAGCUGCUGCAGACAGUGUUCCGUUUAGGUAUAGCGCCACCUAGUUAA